GCUGCCAUCCAUGUAAGAAGUGCCUUGCUCCUCCUUGUCUUCUGCCAUGAUUAUGAGGCUUCCCCAGCCAUGUGGAACUAUAUAUUUGACUCACCCCUUACUGGAAAAAAAGAAAAAUCUGAUCUUGGAGCUGCUAAUCUGAACUGUUUCCAUGCAUCAUGCCAAAUGGAAAAUCUUUAUCCCUACGUAGUAGGUGCCAAAAUCAAGGUAUCAAAGGAGUCCAUGAUGAAAAGAAGCAUCACUCCACAGCAAAUUGAAGGGAGUAGGGGCAGGACAGGACUGUGAUUUACUGAAAUUAAAAUAUACACAAGCCUCAGUCUAUUUUCUAGCAAAAUGAUAAGCCUAAAUAUGCAAAUAUGGCUCGCUUUACCCUGUGAUGCAAACAACCCACACCAAACUAGACUGGCAAUGCAGCUAAACUAUUCGUGAUUUGCUUAUAAGUGAAAGGCAAGAAGAGCAGCAAUUAAAAACCAUGACUGGUGAGGCGCGAUGGCUCACGCCUAUAAUCCCAGCAUUCUGGGAGGCCUAGGCAGGUGGAUCACAAGGUCAGGAGUUCAAGACCAGCCUGGCCAACAGGGUGAAACCCUGUUUCUACUAAAAAUACAAAAAUUAGCUGAGUGUGGUGGCACCCGUCUAUAAUCCCAGCUACUCGGGAGGCUGAGGCAGGAGAAUCACUUGAACCCAGCAGGCGGAAGUUGCCAUCAGCUGAGAUUGUGCCACUGCACUCCAGCCUGGGCGACAAAGCAAGACUCUGUCUCAAAAAUAAAUAAAUAAAUAAAUAAUAAAUAUGAAAACCAUAACCAUCUCAUGACAAAAACCAGAAGGUAUACACCCCUAAAGCAUGCUUCCUCCAAGUCAAGCAAAUUCCAGCUCUCUGCAUGGGCACAUGUGCGGUUGGAACUGGG
rnacentral:lncRNA from 1 species